UAUGUUUUGGCGGUGCUGCUAGUAUGCUAGGCUGUUAGCUUUAAAAAUGGAAGAGAGUGGUACUACUAAAGGCUCAGACUCUGACUCAGAAAAUAGCUCGGAAACAGUAUUGGAAGAGGUAAUUUUAAAGUCAGAAGAACUGAUGUAUGCAGUAUGAGCUUUUGAAAAAAAGGAAACUUGUGAAAAAUGUCAUCAAGGAAAGACUUACACAAAGAUUGGAGGAAAUACAUGCAAAGCAACAAGAGAUAUCCAAUGAAACUAUCAAGAUUGACGAUGAUCAUUCUGACAAUGAUAAUGUAGAUCUAACUGCACUUAAUGUAACUGCACUUUUCCCAUUACAAUGUUAUGACGAAAUGUAGGUAUUAUAUUCAGUUAUAUCUUGUCUUUUAAUCAAAAAUUAUACUAUAAA